rnacentral:misc_RNA from 1 species
UUGUUUUUGUUACAAUGAUUUACAUUCAUUACACUAAUGUUUUUGGUGUUUGUGUCCGGGGCCCGAGAGCCCCAAGACGUACAAGUUCACGGUGUGUGUGGAGUAGACACGGCCAGAGGCCAAAUCUCUAAUGAUCCUUCCGCAGGUUCACCUACGGAAA